GAGCCGUUAGUUCUGCCUCAAUCUUGUCAGGUAUUAAUACAGAACAUGUGCUUGUCCAGCAGGUGCUCUCCGUAAAUAUCAGAUGAAGUCCUGAUAUAUUAGAACAGAAGAAGGAGAGAAAGAUACAGGAGGAAAAAAAUGGAAUCUUAGAAGGGGAAAAUGAAAGCCAAGCAAAAAAGGGAAGAAAUGAAAGAAAUAAGAAAGGGGGAAAUAAAAAAGGAAGAGAAGAGAAGACAAUGAAGGAAGGAAACCAUAAAAAUCUCAUCCUGGUAUAUACUUUUUAUCUGAUACUUCUUACUGGAUAAGACUCUGAGCCCAGGAGAUUUCUGCAAGCUUUCCAGUUUAAACUGACAAUAAUGAUCAUCAAUUUAUAUAAGAUAAAAUUUGGCCAAAAAUAAAUGAGACAUACAGGAACAUUCUACUGGAAGAAAGCAGUAUAAAUGACCAAAACAAUGAAGAAAUACUAUGA
rnacentral:lncRNA from 1 species